GUAAAAAACUACAAUUUUUUCCCUAAAACUACAACAUACAAUUAUGAUUGCUAGUAUUCAAGUUAUAAUUGACGACUAAUAAUUUUUUUUUAGUUUAACUAUAUUUGGAUGGGAGUUGAAGAGUUUAUAAUUUUGACUUUUGGUCACAUAUGCAUACAAUUAGGGGAAAUAAUUUUGCAUUAAUAAUACAAAAAUUAAAUAAUCAUUAUAUAGUACUACAAGAAUUUUAGGCUUUUAUGUCAGUUGAAAAAAGUGAAAUCGGAUGUAUAAUAUCGGUUUUUUUUUAAAAGCAGAUCUUUAACAUCGGUUUAAAACGGACAUUGUAGGGAUACCUUUAAUUUCGGUUUUAAACCGACAUUAAAGACCCGCUUCACUUUUUCCUCUAACUUUCUAUUUAUCCCCCAUUUUUUUUCAUUUCCCUCUUCACUCUCCCUCUCUUUUCUUUUUCCUUCAUUCUCAAACUUCCUUCUUCAGACCCUAUUCUUUCUCACUCCUCUCUUCCAAAGUGGAUUUGCUGGUUGUUCAGUCGGAUCUGCUGCAUAUUUCGUCAUCAUUCGCGUGUCUCCAAAUCUGUCAUUCGCCGGAUCUACUGUUCGUUUUGUUCGCGUGUCUCUAGAUCUGUCGCCGUCAUUCGCAUGUCUCCAGAUCUUCCGCUGUCGUUUGUAUGUCUCCAGAUCUACCGCCAUCGUUCGCCAGAUCUGCCACCGUCGUCGUUCGUCGUUCAUUCCGCCACCGGAUCAGGUGCAUUCACCUAGCCAUCAGCAUCUUUUUGUUUGCGUUUCUGUCUAGGUUUCCGUUGCCAUCUUUGUUAGUCAUUUGCAGGUCCCUGUCCACCGCACUGCUGUCACCAUUAUGUUUAAUAUGCUCUUUUCCCCUUCUUUUUCCAUCGCUGUCACCAUCAAUAUGCUCUUCUUCUCUUUCCUCUCUUAAACUCAUAACAAUUUUUGUUCUUAUGUUUACGCCUCUCAACUGCUUGUGUAAAUGUCUCAAUGAAAGCCAGUUGCGGUUUCACUCCAAUAUAUCUCUCUACUCCUAAAUUUGGGCCUUUUUGUGUCUAUGGCCUUUGAAAUUCGAUUUGAUUAAUAAUUUUGUUGUAUAUCAUUUGUUGAAUUACUUGAAGUUCUAGUGCAAAACUACUUGCUAUCUUUUGUGAUAACAUCCUUAAGAAAGGUAGGAGUGAGAAGCUGAGCGACAAAGCAAUUGAGGAAACCCUUGAGAAGAUGCAGGAUCCAUUUGCUCAUUCAUAUAAUUUUCUCCUUCAACAUCAUCAUCUUCAUCAGUCUGCUCUCUUGAUGAUGAUAUAUUUGCUUAGCUGACCAAAAUUCCAGCCUCUUUUGUCAAACAAGUGUUGGACUAGCGUGGUUGGCUAGAGAAAAUAGUACUCGUUUGUAGUAUCAAUUGUGUCUCCACCGAAGCGCCACAACCAUGCUUGCAAUAAAGAGGUUCAAGGUAAAUUUUUUAUUUUGUUGUGGUAGCAUCGUUAUGCUGUCGAAAAUUUUCCAU